rnacentral:rRNA from 1 species
AGAGUUUGAUCAUGGCUCAGGAUGAACGCUAGCGGGAGGCCUAACACAUGCAAGCCGAGCGGUAUUGUUUCUUCGGAAAUGAGAGAGCGGCGUACGGGUGCGGAACACGUGUGCAACCUGCCUUUAUCUGGGGGAUAGCCUUUCGAAAGGAAGAUUAAUACUCCAUAAUAUAUUGAACGGCAUCGUUUAAUAUUGAAAGCUCCGGCGGAUAGAGAUGGGCACGCGCAAGAUUAGCUAGUUGGUGAGGUAACGGCUCACCAAGGCAAUGAUCUUAGGGGCCUGAGAGGGUGAUCCCCCACACUGGUACUGAGACACGGACCAGACUCCUACGGGAGGCAGCAGUGAGGAAUAUUGGUCAAUGGGUGCAAGCCUGAACCAGCCAUCCCGCGUGAAGGACGACUGCCCUAUGGGUUGUAAACUUCUUUUGUAUAGGGAUAAACCUUUCCACGUGUGGAAAGCUGAAGGUACUAUACGAAUAAGCACCGGCUAACUCCGUG